CGGGAAGAAGAGCGAGCCCGAGGCCAGCGUCAGCAGCAUGGGUGCUCCGGGGGUCGGUCGCCGCGCUCGGCGCCCUCGGCGUGGCUCAGGCUUUGGAAGCAGAGACAGAGCAAGAACAAGGGAGGAAAUAAAAUGAUGGGAGACACGGAGAUACAGCACAGGAAGAUCCAUCAGAAGACUGAGAUCAGAACUGUUACAGGGAAUAAAAGGGGCACGAUUCAGCUCCUCUGACUCAGAAGAACAAGCAGAGAGAUGGAUCCAGAAACUGGAAUUUACAACAAGGGGACAAAAGGGAGGCACUAUGAGACACAGAGAAAGGUAAAAGGAGGUGUACAAAGAGGAAGGAAGUGACAGCCUUUUAUGGGAAUAGCUGGAACCAACCGAAGCCAUAAUGCAUUUGAAGUUCUACUGCACAAGGAAGGAGGCAGCUUGUUUUUAGGCCAGAAUGUGGCAGGAGGAAGUUAAUCAAUUGCCUUUCUCCUCUUUCUCCUGUACUCUGUUUGCACUCCACAAGAAUACCUGGUCAAUGCGGCCUGGCAUUGAUAUUUGUCUACAUGUUUCCCCUGUGGACUGCGGGCCUCUCUAAGGGGCAAGGCAGGGCCUGCCAGUUCAGAAGGCAGCCACGACACACAGCGCAGCGGGGAGCGUUAGGAGGCCUGAGUUCCAGCGAUGGCCCCGCUUCACGUAAGCUGGGUGACAUGGGGAAAACUACUUAACCUCUCUCUAAGAUAUGGGUUCCUCUACCAACCUCACAGGGUGGUUACGAGAAUUAGAUGAGAGAAUUUCAGAAAUACGUGUAAACUAUGUGCCGGACAGGGGCAAGGGACCCUUCGUUAUCUUGGUUCCCUGCAGCACAGUUACUGGCUGUUGAAACUUCUCAGUAAACAUGGAUUGGAUUGAAGACGAUCUAGGUAGGCCUGGCCUUAGCCAGCUUCCAGGCUGCCGCUUCCUCGGUUUUAUCCUGGACUAUUUGCAAAAGCAAGCUCUAAGUCUAAGAGGCACAGUCACACCCCAAGCACGUGGUUUCUACAAACAGUGACCACAGCUGCGCACCACAGGGAAGUCCUCGCUCUGGUACACAGUGAUAAUGAUCCCUGUCAAUAAAGACCGUAAUUUACACAAA